GCGGCACAGCAUAUAUAAAGCUCCCACCCGUAAGAACCACCCCUUUCCAACGUCUACCAACAUUACAUGCUUCUCACGAUGUCAAUCCACGAAGACCUGCAGACAUGCAAAAUGGUCCAGUUGCUGUGUAAAGAUCCUUGACUGCAAGGAGAGGCAUAGGCCGCAUACCACAAAAGAUGAUUCCUGAGCAACCCAACACCACAUAUGAUGUGCAAAGAGGAACCGAUGCCAUCUUGGGUCGAGUAGACAUGAUAGUGCCUCUGAUGGCUGUUUGAACAGAUGUCAUCCUGCCUUCCACGGAAUACUCCAGUUCACCAGUCAAGCAUGGCAGACUUAAGGGUAAAAGCUGCAUACCAAAAAAGAUGAUGGUGCCUCUGAUGGCUGUUUGAGCAGAUGUCAUCCUACCCACCAUGGAAUAUUCCAGUUUACCAGUCAAACAUGGCAGGCUUGAAGGUAAAGGCUGCAUACCACAAAAGAUGAUGGUGCCUCUGAUGGCUGUUUGAGCAGAUGUCGUCAUGAAUUCCGCAGAAGACACCAGUCAAGCAUGGCAGGAACUGGAGGUAAAGGCUGCAUACCACAAAAGAUGAUGGUGCCUCUGAUGGCUGUUUGAGCAGAUGUCGUCAUGAAUUCCGCAGAAGACACCAGUCAAGCAUGGCAGGAACUGGAGGUGAGCUAAGCGUAAAAAGGCUGAAUGUUACAGGAACGUAUUUCCUGUAACAUGCAAAUAGAAUAAAAUAUUUUAAUUAAAAACAAAGUAAAGUGACCAGUCAUUUUGAUGUUUUCCUGGAAAGUUGUAUAGGUGUCAUCAAACCCAAAUGGCUUUAAAAUGUUUGUCCUCUUCUCUAGGUAAAGGCUGCAUACCACAAAAGAUGGUGAGUAAAUGUGUAUUGCCAAAUAAACAACUUGAGACAAUGAUCAGGAGUGAUGAAUGGAAUCAGGUCACUGAUCCAGUUGAGGAGAUUUCCAUUUAACUGAUCCUGACUUUUUUUAUUUUUUUAAAGAAACAGUUGAAUUUAUAGAAUAUCCCACUAAUUUUUGUGUUAUUGCAGAUGGUGCCUCUGAUGGCUGUUUGAGCAGAUGUCGUCAUGAAUUCCGCAGAAGACACCAGUCAAGCAUGGCAGGAACUGGAGGUGAGCUAAGCGUAAAAAGGCUGAAUGUUACAGGAACGUAUUUCCUGUAACAUGCAAAUAGAAUAAAAUAUUUUAAUUAAAAACAAAGUAAAGUGACCAGUCAUUUUGAUGUUUUCCUGGAAAGUUGUAUAGGUGUCAUCAAACCCAAAUGGCUUUAAAAUGUUUGUCCUCUUCUCUAGGUAAAGGCUGCAUACCACAAAAGAUGGUGAGUAAAUGUGUAUUGCCAAAUAAACAACUUGAGACAAUGAUCAGGAGUGAUGAAUGGAAUCAGGUCACUGAUCCAGUUGAGGAGAUUUCCAUUUAACUGAUCCUGACUUUUUUUAUUUUUUUAAAGAAACAGUUGAAUUUAUAGAAUAUCCCACUAAUUUUUGUGUUAUUGCAGAUGGUGCCUCUGAUGGCUGUUUGAGCAGAUGUCGUCAUGAAUUCCGCAGAAGACACCAGUCAAGCAUGGCAGGAACUGGAGGUAAAGGCUGCAUAUCACAAAAGAUGAUGGUGCCUCUGAUGGCUGUUUGAGCAGAUGUCGUCAUGAAUUCCGCAGAAGACACCAGUCAAGCAUGGCAGGAACUGGAGGUGAGCUAAGCGUAAAAAGGCUGAAUGUUACAGGAACGUAUUUCCUGUAACAUGCAAAUAGAAUAAAAUAUUUUAAUUAAAAACAAAGUAAAGUGACCAGUCAUUUUGAUGUUUUCCUGGAAAGUUGUAUAGGUGUCAUCAAACCCAAAUGGCUUUAAAAUGUUUGUCCUCUUCUCUAGGUAAAGGCUGCAUACCACAAAAGAUGGUGAGUAAAUGUGUAUUGCCAAAUAAACAACUUGAGACAAUGAUCAGGAGUGAUGAAUGGAAUCAGGUCACUGAUCCAGUUGAGGAGAUUUCCAUUUAACUGAUCCUGACUUUUUUUAUUUUUUUAAAGAAACAGUUGAAUUUAUAGAAUAUCCCACUAAUUUUUGUGUUAUUGCAGAUGGUGCCUCUGAUGGCUGUUUGAGCAGAUGUCGUCAUGAAUUCCGCAGAAGACACCAGUCAAGCAUGGCAGGAACUGGAGGUGAGCUAAGCGUAAAAAGGCUGAAUGUUACAGGAACGUAUUUCCUGUAACAUGCAAAUAGAAUAAAAUAUUUUAAUUAAAAACAAAGUAAAGUGACCAGUCAUUUUGAUGUUUUCCUGGAAAGUUGUAUAGGUGUCAUCAAACCCAAAUGGCUUUAAAAUGUUUGUCCUCUUCUCUAGGUAAAGGCUGCAUACCACAAAAGAUGGUGAGUAAAUGUGUAUUGCCAAAUAAACAACUUGAGACAAUGAUCAGGAGUGAUGAAUGGAAUCAGGUCACUGAUCCAGUUGAGGAGAUUUCCAUUUAACUGAUCCUGACUUUUUUUAUUUUUUUAAAGAAACAGUUGAAUUUAUAGAAUAUCCCACUAAUUUUUGUGUUAUUGCAGAUGGUGCCUCUGAUGGCUGUUUGAGCAGAUGUCGUCAUGAAUUCCGCAGAAGACACCAGUCAAGCAUGGCAGGAACUGGAGGUAAAGGCUGCAUAUCACAAAAGAUGGUGAGUAAAUGUGUAUUGCCAAAUAAACAACUUGAGACAAUGAUCAGGAGUGAUGAAUGGAAUCAGGUCACUGAUCCAGUUGAGGAAAUUUCAAUUUAACUGAUCCUGACUUUUUUAAUUUUUUUAAAGAAACAGUUGAAUUUAUAGAAUAUCCCACUAAUUUUUGUGUUAUUGCAGAUGGUGCCUCUGAUGGCUGUUUGAGCAGAUGUCGUCAUGAAUUCCGCAGAAGACACCAGUCAAGCAUGGCAGGAACUGGAGGUAAAGGCUGCAUACCACAAAAGAUGAUGGUGCCUCUGAUGGCUGUUUGAGCAGAUGUCGUCCUGCAUUCCACAGAAGACUUCAGUUUAUCAGUCAACCAUGGCAGACUUUGAGGAUGUCGUCGUGCCUUCCACGGACGACUCCAGUUUACUGGUCAAGCAUGGCAGACUUAGAGGUCUAGUUGGUGCAAAUAUCCUUGACUGCAAGGAGAGAGGUGUCUUGGAAGUAUGUGCAGCUGUUCAAGUCAAAUAUUUUCAAAGUGAGGUAAAGGCUGCAUACCACAAAAGAUGAUACAUGAGCAACAGAACAUUUGAUGUUGACCUGCCUUCCACAUAGGACUACAGUUUUACCAGUCAAGCAUGGUAGAUUUGGAGGGAACAUUGCUGGAUUAAUUUGGAAAAUGAAGAACUGUCUUUAAUGACCUGAAUUGGAUGUCUGGCUGGCCCCUAUGUGCAUCUGUUUAAACAAUCAUCUUGUACACUAACCUGUAUUUUCAAAUAAACAAUUGCAUAUUU